CAGCAGCCGCGGGAAUACGUAGGUCCCGAGCGUUGUCCGGAUUUAUUGGGCGUAAAGGGAGCGCAGGCGGUUUAGUAAGUCUGAAGUUAAAGGCAUUGGCUCAACCAAUGUACGCUUUGGAAACUGUUAGACUUGAGUGCAGAAGGGGAGAGUGGAAUUCCAUGUGUAGCGGUGAAAUGCGUAGAUAUAUGGAGGAACACCGGUGGCGAAAGCGGCUCUCUGGUCUGUCACUGACGCUGAGGCUCGAAAGCGUGGGCAGCGAACAGGAUUAGAUACCCCGGUAGUCCCUGUCUCUUAUACA
rnacentral:rRNA from 1 species